CCUACGGGAGGCAGCAGUGGGGAAUAUUGCGCAAUGGACGAAAGUCUGACGCAGCGACGCCGCGUGAGGGAUGAAGGUUUUCGGAUCGUAAACCUCUGUCAGGAGGGAAGAAAGCGCAUGGCGCCAAUCAGCCAUGCGUUGACGGUACCUCCAAAGGAAGCGCCGGCUAACUCCGUGCCAGCAGCCGCGGUAAUACGGAGGGCGCGAGCGUUAAUCGGAAUUACUGGGCGUAAAGGGUGCGUAGGUGGUUUGGCAAGUUAGUAGCGUAACUCCAAGGCUCAACCUUGGAACUACUACUAAAACUGUUGGACUUGAGUGCAGGAGGGGCAACAGGAAUUCCUAGUGUAGCGGUGGAAUGCGUAGAUAUUAGGAGGAACACCAGGGGCGAAGGCGGGUUGUUAGACUGUAACUGACACUGAGGCACGAAAGCGUGGGGAGCAAACAGGAUUAGAUACCCUUGUAGUC
rnacentral:rRNA from 1 species